UAUGUUGGUUCUUGUGAUAACGUAAGGGAAAAAAAUGAUAUUACCUUACUAUUAGUUGUUUGUCCAAAACUGGUGCCAGAAGACUCGGUAAGGCCAGAGACGCGAACGUUAGUCGUCCUAAUCAGGCGUAAAGGGUGUGUAGGCUGCUUUCAAAAUCAUAUCUUUCAAAUAGCUCUUAUAACGAAGAUCUGUUUAAAGGCGAUAUACUUUAAAUAUCUUCAUUCUAAGGUAAAGAUAGGAUGAAUAAAAGCUAGAAUCAAAACGAGGAUAAGCCAAAUAAUACUUAGAGUAGGGAUGAUAUCCGUAGAUACUAAGUGGAAUACUAAAAGUGAAAACUAUUUAUCUAGAAAUGAUUGACGCUGAGAAACGAAGGUGAGAAUAGGAAAUAGGAUUAGAUACCCAGAUACCUCUCACUGUCAACGAUGAAUGGUGGUUUGUUAGUUUAUAGAAGAACUAGUAACGAUGCUAACGCGAUAACCAUUCCGCCUUGCGAGUACGGUUGCAAAACUGAAACCAAAAAAAUUAGUCGGUCUCGAAGCAAACGAAGUGAAGCAUGUUAU
rnacentral:rRNA from 1 species